UUCUCCCUUAUUUCCCAGGUUGGUCUUGAACUCCUGGUCUCAAGAGAUCCUCCUACCUCAGCCUCCCAAAGUGCAAGAAUUACAGGCAAGAGCCACCCUACGAGGCCAGCACUUAGCACUUUUGAUUAUUGGCUCACUGAAUCCUUCCAACCAUCCUGUGAAUCAGAUAUUCCAAUUAGCCCCAUUUUAUAGAUUAUGAAACCGAGGCUCAGAGAAGUGAGGCCAUCCAGCUGGUAAGAUGAGGCGAAUUCAUGCCCGGUCUGUCUGACCUCAGAGUCCACACUCUUCGCUGCUCUAAUUGACUGCUACGGAUUUGAUGCAAACUCAUUCUGUGACCUUGAGCAAAUCUUUUAAUCUCUGGGGCUUCAGUUUCUUUUUCUGUAAAAAAAAAAAAAAAAGAUAAAAAAAUAGCAAGAGCAGUGGUUGGUUUAGAAGGAUUCCAAAUCCCUCUGGAAUAGGGAGGUUGGUGGGGGUAAGUUAGCGGGAAAGAGCUCUGAAGCAGCAGAACUGGACUCCCGGAGGGAAAUAUUCUGAGUCAUUUUCAAUGAUUUCACAAAUUUCUGGAGGUCAUGCUUAAGAUUCGGGACUGCAAAUAAUGUCUCAGGUUCGUUGUCAAAACUAAGUGAUUGGUAGUGGCUGCUUGGAGCCCAGUAUUAGAAGGAUUCUGAACAUCUGCUCAGUGGGAAAGAAUGUCGCCAUUGAUUGGUGCUGUCUGCCGUGCUGCUCAAUUGGUGCUGUCUGCCUUGCCUGCAGGAUGGGCUGUGGUGACGCGGAUGCUAGAUAUUUGCUAACACUACAGGGACGUUAACCCCAAAUCCUAAGGUUUGUGUUCUUUUUAAAAAAUCAAGCUAGUUCUUUUGUUUAUUGAACUUUGAACAUGGAAUGCAACCCCACCGUUCAAGAUUGGCCAGUGGUUCUCACCUGGAAGUCAUUUCGCCCCCAGGUUACAUUUGGCAAUGUCCAGAGAUAUUUUUGGAUGUCACAACUCGGGACGGGCGAGGAGUGAGGUGCUACGGGAACCUCGCAAGAUGCUGGAACACACCUGCAAUGCACGGGACGGGACGGCCACCCCGGCAAAGCAGCAGCUUGUCUCUGAUGUAGCUGGUGCCACGAUCAUGGAGAAAGCCUGUGCCACACUUUUAUCUAGAAAUCAAUAAACAAAAAAAUCUUCAUUAAGAUA